GGUGAUUCAGGAGACUCCAAAGACUGAGGCCGUUCCAGGAAACGUGGCGAUCGCCUCCAGCAAACUGGGGAGCAGACCCACCAUCACCACCUGCAGCAACUGCAGGCAGCGUGUGGAGACUAAAGUCCGUUACACAAAAGGAUGUUUCUCUUGGAGUAUGUGCAGCCUAAUGUUCUGUUUUGGGAUAGUGUGUGGAUGCUGCCUGAUCCCUUUCUUCUCAAAGAGCUGCAAAGACGCCCAUCACUCCUGUCCUCAGUGUAAUGCUGACCUGUGUGUGCACAAGAAAUGCUGCUGUUAAAUCACACACACACACACACACACACACACACACACACACAUUUACUGAUCCCUUUCUUCUCAAAGAGCUGCAAAGAUGCCCAUCACUCCUGUCCUCAGUGUAAUGCUGACCUGUGUGUGUACAAUAAAUGCUGCUGUUAACAACACACACACACACACACACACACACACACACACCUAAAGAAAAGCUAAGAGCAGUACAAAGACCUCCUCAUAGCCUCCAUCUAAAUAUGUCAGAU